UAGUUAAGUUUUUCACAGUUGA
rnacentral:miRNA from 15 species